CUUAAUGAAGCCAUACAAUCAAAAUAUAUAUUCUAACUUCGAGAAACUUGAUUCAAUCCAAAUGGACUUAAGGAUUGCCACAAGAAAAAUAUCUCAUCAUAGUCAACACUACAACUUUGAUGAAAUUCUUUAGCAAUUGAACAGAAUUAAUAUGUCUCUACUUUUUCGUCUGCACCUCUUAUCCAUCUAGAAUCCACUCACACCCUAUGGA
rnacentral:lncRNA from 1 species